UACGGAGGGUGCUAGCGUUAAUCGGAAUUACUGGGCGUAAAGCGUCCGUAGGCGGCUUGUUAAGUCUGAUGUGAAAGCCCUGGGCUUAACCUGGGAACGGCAUUGGAUACUGGCGAGCUAGAGUUCGGUAGAGGGUAGUGGAAUUCCCGGUGUAGCGGUGAAAUGCGUAGAGAUCGGGAGGAACACCGGUGGCGAAGGCGGCCACCUGGACCGAGACUGACGCUGAGGGAAGAAAGCGUGGGGAGCAAACAGG
rnacentral:rRNA from 1 species